CGAGAGGACAUGUUUUAAAAAGACCAUCCCAAGUACAAAUGAUUAAUGAGAUAUUGGAUGUUUCAAACACGUUAAUAAAUGUUUUGUAUGUUCAUUAUUUAAAUUUUAAAUAAUUGUUAUACAUUCGUUAAUAUAUGGUCAAAACUGUAUAUUCAAGACAGCAGCACAAUCAGUAAAGAUUAAUAACUGACUUAAUAAGUUGGUGAAGGGGCUAACAGUUGAGAAGAGUUACACAGAAAUGACACAUAAAAAUUUUACUUAGUCCAAAAUUGAUGUGCUGUUCUUAUUGGAAUGAGAAUCACAAAGCAGACUUAUCUCCACUACAUUGUCACAGAAGCUCCUCCUGAAUAUUUGGUGUAUAUGUGUUUACGAAGUCUGAUGUUACUCAGUACAUGUUUUAUAAAAAUAUAACGAAUUUGUAAAGCAAAAGAACACGAGUAUAUGAUGUGAGUCAGCUAAGCAAAUAUCAGAUUUACUUUGUAGAGAACAUGAGAGACAAACACGGCUGUUACAGUAUUUGAAGUGAUCAAAAAUGUAAAAAUCCUCAAAGAUGCCUCAAUGUAUUACAACUUAUAAUAUCCAAAUAAUAAAUUAUUGUAUGUUUCUUU